CUAAAAUCUCAUACAUUCCAUCAAAGGAGAACUGAAGGGGAUUCCUUUUACAGUGAACUGGGGGCAAGGAUGAGAGGCUGCAAUCUGACCUAUGAAUUCCUCACAGACUGCUAUCAAAUGUUACACAGGACACAAUGAGCUGCAUGAACUGGAGAGACAUCCACAAAUCAUCAGGUAUUUGGUGAAAAAAUACUAUGUUUAGAACUUGAUGCAUGCUCCCUUUUCUCCAGUCAUCUUCAACUGACAAAAAGCUGGAUUUUACUUUUCUUUGGCAUAAAUAAGAAUAAACGUGCCUCAUUAAUCCUGAAUAAACAUAUUCACCGCAAGAACCUUCAUAAUAGGCAUGUGUUUGGAAGUUCAAACUACCACUGA
rnacentral:lncRNA from 1 species